rnacentral:lncRNA from 1 species
GGUGCAGCUACCUGUGUGAUUGAGUUCCUCUAUUAUGAGUCUCAACUGAAUUAGGGUUAAGGUGAACUCGUCAAACCCAACAUCAGUCAUAUGAAUCAAUCGAUUGAUCCGAGUUCGGUGUAAAACCCCAAUGGAAAACUCUUUUCUAUUAUUUCACUCUGCCAUGGCCAUGGGCUUAAGGACUCAAUCUUUCAAUUAUCAUAGGACUACUCCUCUUAUCUACUGAAGUUGAUAGAUCCCAUCUUGGUGCGAUCUGGUUCCUACAAUGAAUAUGCUAUAGCCAACAUACACCUCAGGGUUCUGAAUGGCUAGGAGAUUGAGUUAUGG